UCAGCCAUGGUGAGGAGAAGAGGCAGCCUAAAAAUGGCUGCCACAAAGCUAGGAUAACCGAGGAACAACUAAGACUGGUGCUGGAGCGAACCAGCUAAUAUCUCGCUAAGACUGCCUAGCUUUGUCUCAAAUUAUCUGAAAUCCAUACCAAGACUCCUCACUAACAACUGAGGGGGUAAACUACUUGAAAAGUAUGCUGGAAAAAAAAACAAGCAACAUCAAGGGAAUGUGCAUCAAAAAGUCUACAUCAGAGAAAUCUUAAAUAUCAAAGAACAAUAUCAGACAGAUUUGCAUUUUUUUUAUUACUAUGCAUCUGAGCAGAAGACGGUAAAAAAGGACUGGUAGGUCAUCAAUACUUCUACUUUAAAAAGAAAACACUACGAACAAAGACUGAGAAUGGAUUUUUACCUAUUUAUACAACUCAGCUGGAGACAAACAUGGCAUAUCUGUUCCAGGAAAUAUUUGGCAAUCACUUGCAUAUGUUCCUGGCAAAUGUAAGACCUUUUUAAAUUCAUGAGCAAAGAAAAAGUGCUUUGGUGAGCAUUAUAAAAUCCAAAACUAUGGUUAAGCGGCAAUUUCAUUUUAUCAGAAAAAGUGCUUUGAUCAAGAACUCAAAUAAAGUGAUUAACACAUUACAAA